CAUUAGAAAAACAAAAAAAUAGUACCAAAGAGAAAACCAUAUACUGAACUAGCUAGCACAGUUAGUUUCGUUACAAAUCUCGAUUUAUCUUUUCAUUCUUCAUCAAUCUAAAAAAAAAGAAAAACAACUCAGUCUGGAAACUAAUCACCAUGGCUGCUAGACAAGUAGGUGAUGAUGUUCGUGAUGAUCGAUCUUAAGAAGAAAUGAUGUUAUUUCUCUAGGAUUUUUGAAACUCAAAAACUGAUGUUAAGUAGUGUGCUUGUUGAAUCACAAGAAAUGAUGUUUGGUAAGCUUGAAUCUGUUCUCUCUAAAUUCAUUGAAUCUCGAGUAAAGAAUAAUACCUGUUGUAUUAAUCAUAAAAUCCAUGAAGAGAAAGAAGAAGAACAUAAAGUAUUCGAAAUCCCAUCAUCGGAUUAUCAUAAGCAUUAAGGAUUAUUGAUGUCACAAGAAGAAGAUGAUGUUGCCAACAGAAAUAUUGAUGAUAAAUUAGCUGAAAUGAACAUAAAGAAGCCAUCAUUAUCAGCAGAUGAUACUGAUGAUGUCCCCUUUUCAAUACAAGAAGAGAUCAUAGAGGUACCGGCCGAUCCUGAUCGUGAACAAGUACAGCCAUUUGAGCUUCGACAGCAAUUGCAACAGCGAUUUCACUGGACAGUCAACAACCGUUGACCAGAACGUGGAAUCUGAGGGCACUGGCCAGGUGAAAAGAUGGGUACGAAGAGCUAUACCACGCAGCACUAUCGGGUGAUUGGGAAGAGGCUCGUGAUUAUUUUGAUAAAAUUCCCGAAGCGAUCAGUUCUGUUAUCGCUAUUGAUUGUAAUACUGCAUUGCAUGUAACUGUAUAUCAAGAUAAUUUCAUGUUUGUGAAGGAGAUGGUGGAGCUCAUGGCCUCAUGCCUCCAGAAGCACUAGAGUACAAAACAAAGAAAUUCGGUCGUACACUUCACUAUGCUGCCACGAACGGGAACACUGAAAUUGCUGAGGCGUUGAUUAAGAAAAACGCUAGUCUAACUCAGGUACGCGAUCACACCCGAAAAACAGCACUCGAAUAUGCUGUUUGUAUGGAACAGGGAGACAAUUAAGUAUAUUUACUCUAGUACUAGAGACGUGGAACCAGGUCCGUUCGUUGGAGAAGACGGUGCCAGGUUAUCAUACUAUUCAGUUAAUCAUAAUCUCUUAGGUGAGUAACUUUUUCUGGGAAAUUCACUUCACCUUCGCUUGUUCUGAGUUAGCAAAAGAAAGGAAUGAACCCUACUAAUAGUAUAAUAACACAAAAUUGGUUAAAAAACAAA